rnacentral:rRNA from 1 species
CGGCGGACGGGUGAGUAACACGUAGGCAACCUACCCUUGAGAUUGGGAUAACUACCGGAAACGGUAGCUAAUACCGGAUACGACUUUUCCACAUAAGUGGAAUUGUUAAAAGGCGGAUUUAUCUGCCGCUCAUGGAUGGGCCUGCGGUGCAUUAGCUAGUUGGUGAGGUAGUGGCUCACCAAGGCGACGAUGCAUAGCCGACCUGAGAGGGUGAUCGGCCACACUGGGACUGAGACACGGCCCAGACUCCUACGGGAGGCAGCAGUAGGGAAUCUUCCGCAAUGGACGCAAGUCUGACGGAGCAACGCCGCGUGAGUGAUGAAGGGUUUCGGCUCGUAAAACUCUGUUGUUAAGGAAGAACACUUGAGGUAGUAACUGGCCUUGAGAUGACGGUACUUAACCAGAAAGCCACGGCUAACUACGUGCCAGCAGCCGCGGUAAUACGUAGGUGGCAAGCGUUAUCCGGAAUUAUUGGGCGUAAA